AACUUCUCAGAUACCCAGCAACAGAGAAAGCAGAGAAGAUGGAUGUAUCAGCCUCAAAGCAGAGUGAGGAACUCACUAGCCAACUCGCGCUCUUUUGACUCACUUUGCGACUCUUUUUAACCCAGCACGCUUUUGAAGGAGUCUUCACUUACCAGCUCCUCACUGCCUCCGCCCAUCUCCCCCGAGUUGCGCUCAGCUUGACUCCGCUCUGCAAGCUGUUACACGUAAGAGGCACAAAAACGACGGCAAAAGCAGCGUUUCGGGGCCGGCCGAGAGCCACGAAAACCCGCGUGUCGUAUUGCGGCACGUGCGUAAAUAUAAUACAUGCGUAUAUAACGGACAUAUCCGCUGGUUUGAUAGAGCCACGGGUGGGUGAUCUGAAGUGUUAUCGACUGAUUGCCACGUGCGCGAUAAUGUAUACGGCCUAUUUAUACUGCCGGUCUCGUCAAUUUUACGCAGAUUCUGGUCUUCUUUCAACAAGACAGUUUUCCUUUCUUGGCUUUGCUUUUGCUUUCAAGAAGACGGACUCUGGUCUUCUUUUCUUUCCUUCCUUCUUUUUCUCUUUCUUUGUUUCAUCAAAUGUAUAGCUUAUGGGGAUACAACAUAAAGAAGACAUUUUUCCUUUCUUAGCUUUGCUUUGCUUUCAAGAAGACAGACUCUGGUCUUCUUUUCUUUCGUUCUUUUUUUCAAGAAACAGACUUCUCCUUUCUCUGAGUUUGGUAGAACAGUUUCUUUCUUUCUUUCUUUUUUUCUUUGUUUAUUUCUCUUAAUAAAAUUUGAAGUGACAGAUGGUAUUGUUUGCUUUGAAUCCGAUCUUGCGUGAAGAGAAGCGGAUGAUGUUGGUAAGAAGAGAUAAAACAUAAUCUACAUAUGCCCCAUACUUUGUGCGAGACUCAUAUUGAUGCAUCAGAGGUGGAAUCUGAGUUUGGAAUUGGAGCAGCUGCAUUGAAGAGAAAACUUCAUCAAACUCAUUAUUGAAUAUGGUGAUGGAGGCUAGGGACACUGAAGUGGGUUUACUCGGGCAGUUCAACUCGAUCCCGAAAAUGCAGAGGCUUGGAACAAUAUUGGUUGUUUGUAUGCUCUUUUCGUUUUUUCUUUUCCUUCUAUCCUUAUAAUCCAUAUACACGUUUAUCUAAUAGCAUGUUUUUUUUAAGCAUAUCAUGUUUCUGCGUAAAAUAAGUGAUGUUUCUCUAAAUUUAGCUACUUUGAUUUGACACCAUGACUACUGAACUAUUCUUUGUUGCAUUAUUAGGGACUUUGGUUGUUACUUGUUUGAUGCAAUCCAUUUAAUAAAAAUCUGUUCAAUGGGAAGUUGUGGCACAAUGCCGAUUAACAUGCUUGGUAAAUUGGAAAUCACCAAACUGCUGAAUCUUUGAACAUUUUUUUUAAAGAAGAUAAGAUUCAUCCCAUCAAUAGACACCCUGGGUUAUGCGCAACAGUAACAAAUCUUUCAAAGACAAAAUCUGAUGAGGAAGUAAAUUAGGUCCAUCUUGAAAAGUUUGGCUUUUAAAUAAAAUACAAAAGGUUCUAAACCAAUUAUACUUUAUAGGAGAAAAGCUUAAAGUUUCUUUUAACCACCAGUAGAAGAAAAAACUUGAACUUUCCUUGGAUGUGGAAAGAUAGAAUUUAUAUCAUUCUACCAUGCUUUAAAAAUUACAAACCAUUUUACCUAACUUGCGGGCAUAUGAUCAAGAAGAGGAGCGAAGAGUCAUUCAUUGCAUUCAAGGAGGCCCUGAAAUUCAAGUUCUGUAUCUAUCAAAAUGAUUCUUUUAUUUAAUUGUUUGUAGUCUGAUAUAUUUUUUUUCUGUAAUUUUUUUUGUGUAAUUUUGCAAAUUAUUGUUUAUUUCUAUCGUUUCGAAAUCUGGGUCAUGAUAGGAAGGAAACGUGAUUUUAUUUCAGACGAAAAGGCUGGCAGUUGUGGAAGAAUUACAGUCAUGUUGCUGUUGAUGUGAGCAAUGUUAGCCAGAAAAAAUGAUCAAGUCGGAAGAUUGGAAUGGAACUUUUGCUUUACUUGCAAUUGUUUGAUGAGAUCCUAAUUCUCUUACUAAGCGAACGGCUAAAUCUGGAUCUGAAAUUUUCCAUUCUAGAUCAUAUCCUGAGAGAAGAGGAGGAUGUUGGCAUAAUUAUUGCUGAGGAAAUGCAAGGAUUCACCUUUUCUUUUCAUAGUUAUUGAAUGAAAUAUUUGUUAUCGUUACGCUACUGAUCUAUGUAUUGAUCACUGAUUGCAUAUUCAGUUUGGAUGUUAUUCUUUGUUAGGGGUGUUAGUCUGUUUCAUUUUUUUAGUUUAAUUCUUUUUUCCUUUCUUUGGGAGUGUAUCUAAUCCUCUUCUCUUUUUUGUAUAUUCUCCAUUUCUCUUUAAUAUUAUUUUUUUCAUAAGAAAAGAACAUAUUUCAUGUUAGUAUGAUCUCCUUUAGGCAGGCCAAAAGAAAGGGAUGAGUAAAGGACUUAUUGCCAAUAAGAGGCAUAUGAUCAAGAAGAGGAGUAUAAAGUCAUUCAUUGCAUUCAUGGAGGCCGUGAAAUUCAAGUUCUGUCUAUCAAAAUGGUUUUUUUAUUUAAUUAUUUGUAGUGUGAAAUAUUUCUUUUAUGUAAUUUUUUAUGUGUAAUUUUGCAAAUUAUUAUUUAUUUAUAUUGUUUCGAAAUCUGGGUCAUGAUAGAAGGAAACAUGAUUUUAUUUAAGCUGAAACAACUGGCAGUUGUGGAAGAAUUACAGUCAUGUUGCUGUGGAUGUGGGCAAUAUUAGCCAGAGGGAGACAAUGGACUGGAGACUAUGUUAUGGAAUUUCGAGAUUUGAUUAAUUCUAAUACAGUGGAAGAAAGGAAUAAGUUAGAAGAAGCACGGUUUUCCUUCUUUCAGGCCGGAUACAUAGAAGAUUUUGAUCUGCAUGAAAGUCCAUCAAUGAGAAAGUGGUACCUCGUCAAGUUUCACAAUCACAUAUUAGCAUAUUGAAGUGGUCUUUUAGGCGGGUUAAGAGAAACAGAUGAUGUUUGCCUAGUUAUUGGCAAGAAGAGGUAUGAUGCAACAGAAGAUCAUUCGGUGACAGACUUUUUCUUAACAGAGACAGAUUCUUAAGUUUCAUGCAGAUGUUACCUGGUGGAGAAGGCGAAAGAUGCUCACGUCAUUGGUAUUUUGAUUGGAACUCUUGGUGCAGAUGGGAUUGUUUGCUCUGGAUUCGCGCUUUGCAUGGAUGGCGGUUAGUGGGAAAGAGGUAUAUUAACUACUUAUGAUCAUUUAUAGAAUAUUGAUGUGGCUUUUGAUAAUUUGGCACAGUUAUUGUUGAGGAUAUGUUAACAUUCAUUUUGUUUUUUGCAGUUAUUAUUUUUUAUUGUACACUACAUAACUUGUAUACAUUCACAGAUAUUGCAGCACUCACUAACAACGACGGAAGCAUUCUAGAGGCAGAAUUCGAGAUAUGAUAGAAUAGUUUCUUUAUUAUCUUUCCUUUCUUUGUGUUUUUUGCUUUUUUUCUAUGUUUGUUUCUAAACUUAAAUUAUCAUUUAAAUAUGCAGUUAUUCAUGCGUUUGGUAA